GUGCUUUCUCAUUGAAGGGUGGGCACCUACGCACUGCCCACCUUCGCUGGGUAAUCCUCACCACAACCCUGCGAUGCACACUAUUGCACCCAGCUCAAAGAAACUGCUUGCCCAACAUCACAAAGCUGCCCAGUGAUAGAGAUGGCACUGGACCCAGAGCUCAGUCUUUCCCUCACAAAGCACGCCUCAGUGCACAGUGUCAAAGGGAGAUAAGCUUGGCUGCCCAAAGGAGGAAAAGAAUGUGUCCAGCUGGGAAGCAGUGGGAAUAGGAAUGGGGCAGGAGAGAUGGCUUGGAGGUUAAGAGCAAUGGCUGCUCUUCCAGAGGUUGUGAGUUCAAUUCCCAGCAACCACAUGGUGGCUCACAACAAUCUAUAGUGAGAGCUGGUGCCCUGCAUAUAUGCAGGCAGAAGACUAUAUAUACAAUAAAUAAGUCUCUUUUUAAAAAGCUAUUAAAAAAAAAACAAAGAAGGCUCUGCCUCACCUCUGCAUCCCCCUUGAAGACGUGCUGUCUUGCUAUGUAGAGAGAAAGCUUCCUGUCUGACAAGAGACUGCUCUGGAGGCUUGCAAAUCACCUAUAUGGAG
rnacentral:lncRNA from 1 species